rnacentral:rRNA from 1 species
GAGCCUGCGUUCCAUUAGCUUGNCUUUUNGGGUAACGGCCCACCAAGGCAACGAUGGGUAGCCGAUUUGAGAGGAUGAUCGGCCACACUGGAACUGAAACACGGUCCAGACUCCUACGGGAGGCAGCAGUGGGGAAUAUUGCGCAAUGGGCGAAAGCCUGACGCAGCGACGCCGCGUGAGGGAUGAAGGUUUUCGGAUCGUAAACCCUCUGUCAGAAGGGAAGAAACUACAUUGUGCUAAUCAGCAGUGUACUGACGGUACCUUCAAAGGAAGCACCGGCUAACUCCGUGCCAGCAGCCGCGGUAAUACGGAGGGUGCAAGCGUUAAUCGGAAUUACUGGGCGUAAAGCGCACGUAGGCUGUAGUGUAAGUCAGGGGUGAAAUCCCACGGCUCAACCGUGGAACUGCCUUUGAUACUGCACAACUUGAAUCCGGGAGAGGGUGGCGGAAUUCCAGGUGUAGGAGUGAAAUCCGUAGAUAUCUGGAGGAACAUCAGUGGCG